GUGUGUGCGUCGCCCGCACAUAUACUAAAAUUGGCACCACCCCAGAGAAGAUUAGCGCGCCCGCUCGCGCGAGGAUGACACGCAAAAUUCGGGAAGCAUUCUAUAUUGUG
rnacentral:snRNA from 1 species